rnacentral:rRNA from 1 species
GGAAUCGCUAGUAAUCGCAAAUCAGAAUGUUGCGGUGAAUACGUUCCCGGGUCUUGUACACACCGCCCGUCACACCAUGGGAGUUGGAAAUGCCCGAAGUCAGUGACCCAACCUAAGGGAGGGAGCUGCCGAAGGCAGGUUCGAUGACUGGGGUGAAGUCGUAACAAGGUAAC